rnacentral:tRNA from 1 species
GGUUCCAUGAUGUAAUGGUGAGCGCUUUGGACUCUGAGUACGGUGAUCAGCGUUCAAGUCUCAGUGGGACCU